rnacentral:tRNA from 2 species
GCAUCCAUAGCCAAGUGGUAAGGCAAGUGACUGCAACUCACUCACCGUCGGUUCAAAUCCGGCUGGAUGCUCCA